GGUUAAGCGACUAAGCGUACACGGUGGAUGCCCUGGCAGUCAGAGGCGAUGAAGGACGUGCUAAUCUGCGAUAAGCGUCGGUAAGGUGAUAUGAACCGUUAUAACCGGCGAUUUCCGAAUGGGGAAACCCAGUGUGAUUCGUCACACUAUCAUUAACUGAAUCCAUAGGUUAAUGAGGCGAACCGGGGGAACUGAAACAUCUAAGUACCCCGAGGAAAAGAAAUCAACCGAGAUUCCCCCAGUAGCGGCGAGCGAACGGGGAGGAGCCCAGAGCCUGAAUCAGUGUGUGUGUUAGUGGAAGCGUCUGGAAAGGCGUGCGAUACAGGGUGACAGCCCCGUACACAAAAAUGCACAUACUGUGAGCUCGAUGAGUAGGGCGGGACACGUGGUAUCCUGUCUGAAUAUGGGGGGACCAUCCUCCAAGGCUAAAUACUCCUGACUGACCGAUAGUGAACCAGUACCGUGAGGGAAAGGCGAAAAGAACCCCGGCGAGGGGAGUGAAAAAGAACCUGAAACCGUGUACGUACAAGCAGUGGGAGCCUCUUUAUGGGGUGACUGCGUACCUUUUGUAUAAUGGGUCAGCGACUUAUAUUCUGUAGCAAGGUUAACCGAAUAGGGGAGCCGAAGGGAAACCGAGUCUUAACUGGGCGUUAAGUUGCAGGGUAUAGACCCGAAACCCGGUGAUCUAGCCAUGGGCAGGUUGAAGGUUGGGUAACACUAACUGGAGGACCGAACCGACUAAUGUUGAAAAAUUAGCGGAUGACUUGUGGCUGGGGGUGAAAGGCCAAUCAAACCGGGAGAUAGCUGGUUCUCCCCGAAAGCUAUUUAGGUAGCGCCUCGUGAAUUCAUCUCCGGGGGUAGAGCACUGUUUCGGCAAGGGGGUCAUCCCGACUUACCAACCCGAUGCAAACUGCGAAUACCGGAGAAUGUUAUCACGGGAGACACACGGCGGGUGCUAACGUCCGUCGUGAAGAGGGAAACAACCCAGACCGCCAGCUAAGGUCCCAAAGUCAUGGUUAAGUGGGAAACGAUGUGGGAAGGCCCAGACAGCCAGGAUGUUGGCUUAGAAGCAGCCAUCAUUUAAAGAAAGCGUAAUAGCUCACUGGUCGAGUCGGCCUGCGCGGAAGAUGUAACGGGGCUAAACCAUGCACCGAAGCUGCGGCAGCGACACUAUGUGUUGUUGGGUAGGGGAGCGUUCUGUAAGCCUGUGAAGGUGGCCUGUGAGGGUUGCUGGAGGUAUCAGAAGUGCGAAUGCUGACAUAAGUAACGAUAAAGCGGGUGAAAAGCCCGCUCGCCGGAAGACCAAGGGUUCCUGUCCAACGUUAAUCGGGGCAGGGUGAGUCGACCCCUAAGGCGAGGCCGAAAGGCGUAGUCGAUGGGAAACAGGUUAAUAUUCCUGUACUUGGUGUUACUGCGAAGGGGGGACGGAGAAGGCUAUGUUGGCCGGGCGACGGUUGUCCCGGUUUAAGCGUGUAGGCUGGUUUUCCAGGCAAAUCCGGAAAAUCAAGGCUGAGGCGUGAUGACGAGGCACUACGGUGCUGAAGCAACAAAUGCCCUGCUUCCAGGAAAAGCCUCUAAGCAUCAGGUAACAUCAAAUCGUACCCCAAACCGACACAGGUGGUCAGGUAGAGAAUACCAAGGCGCUUGAGAGAACUCGGGUGAAGGAACUAGGCAAAAUGGUGCCGUAACUUCGGGAGAAGGCACGCUGAUAUGUAGGUGAAGCGACUUGCUCGUGGAGCUGAAAUCAGUCGAAGAUACCAGCUGGCUGCAACUGUUUAUUAAAAACACAGCACUGUGCAAACACGAAAGUGGACGUAUACGGUGUGACGCCUGCCCGGUGCCGGAAGGUUAAUUGAUGGGGUUAGCGGUAACGCGAAGCUCUUGAUCGAAGCCCCGGUAAACGGCGGCCGUAACUAUAACGGUCCUAAGGUAGCGAAAUUCCUUGUCGGGUAAGUUCCGACCUGCACGAAUGGCGUAAUGAUGGCCAGGCUGUCUCCACCCGAGACUCAGUGAAAUUGAACUCGCUGUGAAGAUGCAGUGUACCCGCGGCAAGACGGAAAGACCCCGUGAACCUUUACUAUAGCUUGACACUGAACAUUGAGCCUUGAUGUGUAGGAUAGGUGGGAGGCUUUGAAGUGUGGACGCCAGUCUGCAUGGAGCCGACCUUGAAAUACCACCCUUUAAUGUUUGAUGUUCUAACGUUGGCCCCUGAUCGGGGUUGCGGACAGUGUCUGGUGGGUAGUUUGACUGGGGCGGUCUCCUCCUAAAGAGUAACGGAGGAGCACGAAGGUUGGCUAAUCCUGGUCGGACAUCAGGAGGUUAGUGCAAUGGCAUAAGCCAGCUUGACUGCGAGCGUGACGGCGCGAGCAGGUGCGAAAGCAGGUCAUAGUGAUCCGGUGGUUCUGAAUGGAAGGGCCAUCGCUCAACGGAUAAAAGGUACUCCGGGGAUAACAGGCUGAUACCGCCCAAGAGUUCAUAUCGACGGCGGUGUUUGGCACCUCGAUGUCGGCUCAUCACAUCCUGGGGCUGAAGUAGGUCCCAAGGGUAUGGCUGUUCGCCAUUUAAAGUGGUACGCGAGCUGGGUUUAGAACGUCGUGAGACAGUUCGGUCCCUAUCUGCCGUGGGCGCUGGAGAACUGAGGGGGGCUGCUCCUAGUACGAGAGGACCGGAGUGGACGCAUCACUGGUGUUCGGGUUGUCAUGCCAAUGGCACUGCCCGGUAGCUAAAUGCGGAAGAGAUAAGUGCUGAAAGCAUCUAAGCACGAAACUUGCCCCGAGAUGAGUUCUCCCUGACCCUUUAAGGGUCCUGAAGGAACGUUGAAGACGACGACGUUGAUAGGCCGGGUGUGUAAGCGCAGCGAUGCGUUGAGCUAACCGGUACUAAUGAACCGUGAGGCUUAACCUU
rnacentral:rRNA from 1 species